rnacentral:rRNA from 1 species
UACGUAGGGGGCAAGCGUUGUCCGGAAUCAUUGGGCGUAAAGCGCGUGUAGGCGGCCAAGUAAGUCCGUUCUGAAAGCCCGGGGCUCAACCCCGGGAGGCGGAUGGAUACUGCUUGGCUCGAGUCCGGAAGAGGCGAGUGGAAUUCCCGGUGUAGCGGUGAAAUGCGCAGAUAUCGGGAGGAACACCAAUGGCUAAGGCAGCUCGCUGGGACGGUACUGACGCUGAGACGCGAAAGCGUGGGGAGCAAACAGG